GAUGAACGCUGGCGGCGUGCCUAAUACAUGCGAGUCGAGCGAACGGACGAGAAGCUUGCCUUUCUGAUGUUAGCGGCGGACGGGUGAGUAACACGUGGAUAACCUACCUAUAAGACUGGGAUAACUUCGGGGAACCGGAGCUAAUACCGGAUAAUAUUUUGAACCGCAUGGUUCAAAAGUGAAAGACGGUCUUGCUGUCACUUAUAGAUGGAUCCGCGCUGCAUUAGCUAGUUGGUAAGGUAACGGCUUACCAAGGCAACGAUGCAUAGCCGACCUGAGAGGGUGAUCCGCCACACUGGAACUGAGACACGGUCCAGACUCCUACGGGAGGCAGCAGUAGGGAAUCUUCCGCAAUGGGCGAAAGCCUGACGGAGCAACGCCGCGUGAGUGAUGAAGGUCUUCGGAUCGUAAAACUCUGUUAUUAGGGAAGAACAUAUGUGUAAGUAACUGUGCACAUCUUGACGGUACCUAAUCAGAAAGCCACGGCUAACUACGUG
rnacentral:rRNA from 1 species